rnacentral:rRNA from 1 species
GAUGAACGCUAGCGGCAGGCCUAACACAUGCAAGUCGAGGGAGGAGCCUUCGGGCUUCGACCGGCGUACGGGUGCGUAACGCGUAUACAAUCUGCCUUUCACAUAGGGAUAGCCCGAAGAAAUUUGGAUUAAUACCUAAUGGUAUAUAGAUGUGGCAUCACCUUUAUAUUAAAGCUGAGGCGGUGAAAGAUGAGUAUGCGUUCUAUUAGCUAGUUGGAGAGGUAACGGCUCCCCGAGGCGACGAUAGAUAGGGGUUCUGAGAGGGAUAUCCCCCACACUGGUACUGAGAUACGGACCAGACUCCUACGGGAGGCAGCAGUGAGGAAUAUUGGACAAUGGUCGGAAGACUGAUCCAGCCAUGCCGCGUGCAGGAAGACGGCCUUAUGGGUUGUAAACUGCUUUUGCAGGGGAAGAAUAAGGACUACGCGUAGUUUGAUGACGGUACUCUGCGAAUAAGCAUCGGCUAACUCCGUG